rnacentral:rRNA from 1 species
UACAGAGGGUGCAAGCGUUAAUCGGAAUUACUGGGCGUAAAGCGUGCGUAGACGGUUACAUAAGUCAGGUGUGAAAGCCCCGGGCUCAACCUGGGAAUUGCAUUUGAGACUGUGUAGCUAGGGUGCGGAAGAGGGAAGCGGAAUUCCCGGUGUAGCGGUGAAAUGCGUAGAUAUCGGAAGGAACACCAGUGGCGAAAGCGGCUUCCUGGUCCAGCACCGACGUUCAGGCACGAAAGCGUGGGGAGCAAACAGG